rnacentral:rRNA from 1 species
GUGGGGAAUAUUGGACAAUGGGCGAAAGCCUGAUCCAGCCAUGCCGCGUGUGUGAAGAAGGUCUUCGGAUUGUAAAGCACUUUAAGUUGGGAGGAAGGGCAGUAAGUUAAUACCUUGCUGUUUUGACGUUACCGACAGAAUAAGCACCGGCUAACUUCGUGCCAGCAGCCGCGGUAAUACGAAGGGUGCAAGCGUUAAUCGGAAUUACUGGGCGUAAAGCGCGCGUAGGUGGUUCAGCAAGUUGGAGGUGAAAUCCCCGGGCUCAACCUGGGAACUGCCUCCAAAACUACUGAGCUAGAGUACGGUAGAGGGUAGUGGAAUUUCCAGUGUAGCGGUGAAAUGCGUAGAUAUAGGAAGGAACACCAGUGGCGAAGGCGACUACCUGGACUGAUACUGACACUGAGGUGCGAAAGCGUGGGGAGCAAACAGGAUUAGAAACCCGUGUAGUCC